UCCCUGGAAGACUAGUGGUUAGGCCAUGGCACUCUCACCGCUGUGGCACAGGUUCGAUUCCCGGCCAGUGAA